rnacentral:rRNA from 1 species
GAUGAACGCUGGCGGCAUGCCUAAUACAUGCAAGUCGAGCGAAGCGGGGACGGGUGAGUAACACGUGGAUAACCUCCUAUAAAACUGGGUUAACAUCGGGAAACCGGAGUAACACCGGCAACUUAUCGCAUGAUCCGCGCUGCAUUAUGUAGUUGGUAAGGCACAGGCUUACCAAGGCAACCAGGCAUAGCCGACCUGAGAGGGUGAUCGGCCACACUGGAACUGAGACACGGUCCAGACUCCUACGGGAGGCAGCAGUAGGGAAUCGUCCGCAAUGGGCGAAAGCCUGACGGAGCAACGCCGCGUGAGUGAUGAAGGUCUUCGGAUCGUAAAACUCUGUUAUUAGGGAAGCGGUACCUAAUCAGAAAGCCACGGCUAACUACGUGCCAGCAGCCGCGGUAAUUC